rnacentral:rRNA from 1 species
CACUGACGAGUUUGAUCCUGGCUCAGAUUGAACGCUGGCGGCAGGCCUAACACAUGCAAGUCGAGCGGUAGAGAGAAGCUUGCUUCUCUUGAGAGCGGCGGACGGGUGAGUAAUGCCUAGGAAUCUGCCUGGUAGUGGGGAUAACGUUCGGAAACGGACGCUAAUACCGGAUGAUGUCUUCGGACCAAAGAUUUAUCGGCAAAGGAUGAGCCCGCGUAGGAUUAGGUAGUUGGUGGGGUAAAGGCCUACCAAGCCGACGAUCCUUAGCUGGUCUGAGAGGAUGAUCAGCCACACUGGGACUGAGACACGGCCCAGACUCCUACGGGAGGCAGCAGUGGGGAAUAUUGGACAAUGGGCGAAAGCCUGAUCCAGCAAUGCCGCGUGAGUGAUGAAGGCCUUCGGGUUGUAAACUGCUUUUGUACGGAACGAAACGGUGAGCUCUAAUACAGUUUGCUAAUGACGGUACCGUAAGAAUAAGCACCGGCUAACUACGUG